AAGGAUAAGCAAGUAAUGAGAACGUUACGAAAUCCGUAUGAAAAUAGGAAAUUCGAGUAGAAGUCAGUAGACUUCAAGGGAAUUUAUCAUUUUCACUAGGAAUUUAGUUCGAAUACACUUGCUCGGAAUCCUGUACGUAGUCUUCUUCAAUUUUGAGAGGUCUGUGGGGCCUUAGCUCAGCUGGGAGAGCGCCUGCUUUGCACGCAGGAGGUCAGCGGUUCGAUCCCGCUAGGCUCCAUCGGUAACGAAAGUUACCAAACAGAAUACAAAGGUUCAAGUAGUUGAACACGACCUCAUUUUCUAGGAAAAAAGAUAAACUUCCUAGUGUGCAAGGCACACUUCGUCAGUUUCCUAUUUUUCUACAAGAAUGUCCCAUUGUGGGAACGGUCUUUGUAUCCUAUCUUUGUCCAUUGAAAAUCGAAUAUCUAUAUCAAAUUCCAUUUAUUUUAAGAAAUAAAUGACUAGUAACAAGAAAAUAAACCGAAACGCUGUGAAUUAAUGAGAAUUCUAGUUAAAAGAACUAGGUUCAUAA
rnacentral:tRNA from 1 species